rnacentral:lncRNA from 1 species
AUGAGGAACAGAUAUUUUCAGCACUCUAACAAUGGUGCCCCGUUUUUUAAAGGCAACUCAAUGUCACCUAGCCAGCUUUGCAGUAAAGUUUUUACGAAAGCUGUGGUAAGCAUGCGAGGCUUGGCGGGGGCCUCAGCGUUCACCUCCGGGCCUGUCAGAGGUCUCAGAACCCACGAAACCCGGGCCGCCCCAGGAUGGGCCAAGGGGACACCCUGGGCUCCGGAGAGAGUAGAAGGGGAAGCUCGGCGCAGCUCAAGCCCUCGCGGGAAGAGCAGGGAGCGGCCCUUCUCCGUGGGAAACGCCGCUCUCGGCCGAGUUCGAGAGACUAAGAAGCUGAUGACCUUCCUGGCACCUGAGUUGAGGAGUGACCAGUACAAAGAAGCCUUCCAGAGAAGGGGGCAGUCCAGGGCUGGAGUCCCUGCGCCAAUUUCCCCUUGGAUCCAGUGAGGUAUGAGAAGCGCCUCAUUCGCAGACUGGGCCCCUGGAGCCUGGGCCUGGCGCUUUUAGGCUUCUCCAAGUCUGUGGCGCCCUCCCCUUCAGGAGUGCGCUGCCCGAGCGACACCUUCACUUCUCUCCAGACGGUGCACGACCCAUCAGGCUGUACAGCUGUUUCCAGCGUUCCCUGCAGCUCCUCCUACAGAUGCACGGACUCCGCAGCCCAGGCCCUCCCCUAGCUCUCUGCCACUGAACAGGAGCCUUCUCAAGUCUGUUUCCCAAGUUCAGGCCGGCAGGCCCUCCAGGCAACCCCACCUUAAGCCCUUACCCUCCCUUCAUCUCCCACUCACAGAAAACCGCCAGAACCGGCCUCCCUGGCUGCCUCUCUGCUCCCAGUGCCCUGAUUCAAGCCUCUUCUAAAUGCCUGCGCCCAACAACUUUUCUCUUUCCAUCUGUUGCCCCUUGAGAUCUCUACCAUUCUUAUUCUUAAUGCUUGCCACAUCGUUUUUGUAGUUUGUCUUAUUUCUGCCCCUAUUGAUUUGACUCUGCCCUCUCCAGAUGCCUGUCAUACAUAGGAUUUCUCAAUUAUUCCUUGCUUAGCGUGAAUGUUAGCAUGUGUAGAACCACAUUUAUGCCAUCUGAUCGUCUCGCUCAGACCUUCUCAUAUUCAGCACAAGAAUUUUUUCACUAUAAGAUCUGGAAAUAUGUAAUCUCUCACUUACAAAGACUGAUCAUGAUAGCAACCAAGUGGAACUAAGGGCAUGGCAUGGGCCAGAGAAAAAAUGGGCCCAGAUGCUGAACCACCCUUCCCCAUAUGCACUACUGAGGAAGAAUGCUGCUCUUCCCGGGCUAUGGGCUUUUAAUAGCCAAGAGGUAUGUGACAUAGAGAAACUGCGUGUCCCUUGAUGCUCAUGGCAUAUCAUAUACCUGGGUACAUGGCAAUUCAGGUGCAUGUCCAGGGACAAGUAGAAUCUUUGUGCAUCUUUAUACUCAGUGAAGGACACAGAAGGACAGACGUGGUUAACACUAUGGGGAGGAUGGGAGACAGAAUUAUGCCCGGUUAGGAACAGAAGGCAUAAAGUCUCACUUAUACAAACUGCUCUGGGACAUAUUGGUUGAUCAGAUUUUCUAAUAAAAUAGAGAAUACUUUAGGAUUAAAUUUUUUUUUUACUGAAAAGACUUUUUAAAAAAUGCUUUCCUACAUAACUAAGUCCAACACUGGAAUAUGAUUAGGUCAUUCUUUUAUUCAACAACUAUUUCAUGCACACAUACUAUGUACCAGACACCUUUCUGGUGGACAAAACAAGCAAGAUCCCUGGCCUAGGGCACUUUCAUUCUAGUAGGGAAGAUGGAUAAGGAAGAAACCAGUAAAGAUCAUCUCAAAUCGUGAACUCAGCUAUCAAGGCAAGGUCAUCGACAGAGAAUGCUGGUGGAGGACCCAUGUUACAAUGUUCAUGAAAGACCACCUGGAGGAGUGGGAGGAGCCAGAGAGUCCAAGACUGGGGCAGGACAGUCCAGGCAAAGGUAACAGCUAGUGCAAAGGCCUGAGGCAAGAGGGAAACAAAAGGAGGCCAGUCUCACCAAACUGGAUUGAGCACAGAGAAAAUGACAUAUGAGAUGGGGUUGGGGAUUUUAUUAUAUUAUGUUAUUGUAUCUAACAUGGGUAUAUUUUCCAUUGCUGCAUCUGCAUGAAGUUAAAGAGCCCUAUAUUUUGCUUUUUGAUAACUCUUUUAUUACUUGUGUGAAUGCAUUUUAUAUAUUUUGUUGCUUUUAAUAUUUCAUGUGUCUUUUUUUAAUCUUUUCAACUUUGCAAUCUCAAGGCUGUGUCCAGCUUUUUGGAUUUCUUCAUAUUCCCUAGUAAAAGUCUUUGCCUGAUACUCUAUGCAUGUUGUAUUGCUUUGAAGUAUUCCCUUCAGAAGAUGUGAAUUUAGCCCAAGCUGUAAAUCUGUAUAAAAACAGAGUAAACGCUAGUAGAUUUCCCUUGUAUUAGAGAAGUCUGAGAAUUGGGUGGACUUAAACAUCCAGAGUUUUACUUGGAGUUUCUUUUUUCCAUAGCUUGAAAUAAUAAGUCCAGGGCUAUCUUCAUGAAUGUUGUAAUAAUAUGAUUGUUGAUAUAAAAAGACUGACGCUAAUUAUCUAAUGACAUUAUUAGUGAUAUGAAAAUAAAAUGAUUUAAAAUAUUUCUCUUCUUUAAUGAAUUAGCUUCCAUUAGUACCUCCAGAAGUAUAGAAGUUUGUCCCAUGCUUCUCAUUCCAAAUAAAAUGACUAGCUUAAAAAAAAUCAUACUCAUAAAUAAAUAAACCUAAAUAUGGAUAUGGCUGAAAUAGAACCAAUCUCCUAAUACAGUAGCAACUAUGCCUAUCAGCAUGCUUUAUGCAGUCUGGGAUAGUGGCAGGCGGCCAGCAUAUUAUCCUCUAAUCCAUUCCUAGCCUACCUCCUAAAUGUUAUAAAUAUUCAUGUAUGCCAUAGAAAGCUACUAAGGCUUUAUUCAAACAUUUUUUUGAAUACUCCUUUAUGUUCCCCCCAAAUGAAAGAAUGUCUGUCUUUUUUUUUGCACACGGAUCAGAGUGUGCAUUCCCCUUUGUUCAUACCCACAAAUUCUGAAAACCAAUACACAACACAUUCUCUAAUCCUCAAUUCAUACCUCAGGGUGAAGAGGUUCAAAAUAAAAUUAUUUAGGGUUUGGAGCAGUGGUUUGCUGGGACUGUAAUGCUGCCACCAAGAAAAGGUACCUGAGUUCCUAGCUAGCUUGGUGACUUCAAGGAGCUCCCUCCAGGGACACAGCAGACCAGCCCCAGCAGGUCUGCUAGUUCUGCUCACCACCUUGGCCUUGCUGAUGAAUGACUGGGAUUCACUGACAUCAGCCUGAAAGGUAAGAUGUAUCUUUUUCCAAGACACAUGAUAAAACUAGCAGCCACUCCUGGGAUGUAAAAGUAGUAGUAGCUAUUGUGGUAUUGGACAGGUGUGGGCUAAUUUAUGAUGGAAAACAUGGGAAAGUUGGUGAUAUAUGCCAGGUUGGUUCAAGUCAGGCUGGGAAAGCAAAAACAAAUCUUCUUGAUGUUCCAUUUUAUUUUCCAGUACCACACAACUUGUGGAAGGGCAAUUCUAAAAUUUUCUCAUGGUAUGAUUUCAAAUAAAUAAAAUUUAUAUAGUUGCUGAAGAAGAGAACUACCAGCAUACUUUGAAUAUCCUUUCAUCCCUUCUCUAUCAUAGUAAUAGAACUUCCUAAUUUUUAGUGGGGCACAUGGAUACCAAAACAAGAACUAUAAAUUUUCUAACUUACCUUUCAUAUGAUUAAGUUUCUGGCCAAUAUAAUGUGAGCAAAGUGAUGAGUAAACGUCCAGGUCACGUCCCUAAAGAGAAGCACUCCCCCUCCCCUUCUCCAUUUCCCCUCUCCUCUAGCUGGAACGGGAGUGCAGAGUCAGCCAUCUUGGGCCACGCACAUAGUAUUGUGGCAAGAGAGAAGCCUGGAACCUUGACUGCUAUCUGGACUUAAACGAGAAAGAAAGAAACUCAUCUUGCUUUAGCCAGCAUUAAUUUAGGUUUCUGUUAUUGCAAUGGAACUGCUCUUUUAAUUAUUCAGUUGCUCUCUCUGAGAAUAGGAUGUGAAGGACUUCUUGCCUCACUGCCAGGCAUUUAAGAACCCACUUCUGUGGGCAGAAUGUACAGAAAUGGGGAGGGGGUAAUUUCCUAACAGCCACUGAAGAUGAUCUUGACUUUUCCUUUGCAGGCUGUGGCUGUGACACUAAGAUCUGAAAACCCAGAUGAAACGAUUUCUUUUAUCCUUGCAACAGAUGGUUGGCUUUGCGUACUUGUGCUCUUCUUGUUUUUUCUGUUUAGUUAGCUUCAACGAUCAAAAGUUCUGAAGCUCAGUCAAUUCUUUAGAAAACCCUGACAUCUAUAUCUCUGUGCAUGUGUAUAUUUUAUACUCAAAUAUCUGGUUUAGUCACACCUCAGUCCUCAUUUCUGCAUAAGUGAUCUGGAAGGUUCUUUGCCCAUUUGUUAAAUCUUUCAUCUUAUCUGGCAAUCAACUUCUAAAAAAUAGGUUUCCUUUGAGAAAGCAGAGAAAUAUUGUUUAAUUCUCCAUGCUAACAAGUGAGCAAAGAAUGUUUUUUACUUUGAUCAAAGAAUUGCUAAACUGACACAGUAAUAGAGAUGUUCAUACCCCACCCUUGGUGGGGAGAAGACUGCUAAGAAAAUAUUUGCUCUCUGGGAAGGAGUGCCUUUGAGGAGUGUGUCCUCAUGUGCUUUCCUAAGAAGCUUAAGAAAGACAUGGGGGAACUUGUGUCCAGCAACAGCUGUACUUCUUUACCAAGCUGGGCUUUGCAAUAAUUACAUCCCCAGAAUUGAAUGGUGCUGAUCCUCACAGGAUUACUGCAGGGAGUUUCAAAUUCUCCUGGAGCCACACAUUUUAGUUCAAUUUUACGAAACAAUUAGAAUAGCAGUUUUCUCAUUAGAAUUCAAUAGCACUCCAUGGCUUACAGAGUACUUACAGACCAUAAACCUACCAACAAUUUCAAGAGCUAGAUAGAGCAGCCAUUAUUCCCAUUUUCUGUAGAGG